GAUGAACGCUGGCGGCGUGCCUAAUACAUGCAAGUCGAGCGAACGGACGAGAAGCUUGCUUCUCUGAUGUUAGCGGCGGACGGGUGAGUAACACGUGGAUAACCUACCUAUAAGACUGGGAUAACUUCGGGAAACCGGGGCUAAUACCGGAUAAUAUUUUGAACCGCAUUGUUCAAAAGUGAAAGACGGUCUUGCUUUCACUUAUAGAUGGAUCCGCGCUGCAUUAGCUAGUUGGUAAGGUAACGGCUUACCAAGGCAACGAUGCAUAGCCGACCUCAGAGGGACAUUGGCCACACUGGAACUGAGACAGAGCCCAGACUCCGAGGGGAGGCAGCAGUAGGGAAUCUUACGCAAUGGGCGAAAGCCUGACAGAGCAACGCCGCGUGAGUGAUGAAGGUCUUCGGCUCGUAAAGCUCUGUUAUUAGGGAAGAACAUAUGUGUAAGUAACUGUGCACAUCUUGACGGUACCUAAUCAGAAAGCCACGGCUAACUACGUG
rnacentral:rRNA from 1 species